CACUUCGGUGAUGACGUUGGGAACGCGAGCGGCGGAUGGGUGAGUAACACGUGGGGAACCUGCCCCAUAGUCUGGGAUACCACUUGGAAACAGGUGCUAAUACCGGAUAAGAAAGCAGAUCGCAUGAUCAGCUUAUAAAAGGCGGCGUAAGCUGUCGCUAUGGGAUGGCCCCGCGGUGCAUUAGCUAGUUGGUAGGGUAACGGCCUACCAAGGCAAUGAUGCAUAGCCGAGUUGAGAGACUGAUCGGCCACAUUGGGACUGAGACACGGCCCAAACUCCUACGGGAGGCAGCAGUAGGGAAUCUUCCACAAUGGACGAAAGUCUGAUGGAGCAACGCCGCGUGAGUGAAGAAGGUUUUCGGAUCGUAAAGCUCUGUUGUUGGUGAAGAAGGAUAGAGGUAGUAACUGGCCUUUAUUUGACGGUAAUCAACCAGAAAGUCACGGCUAACUACGUGCCAGCAGCCGCGGUAAUACGUAGGUGGCAAGCGUUGUCCGGAUUUAUUGGGCGUAAAGCGAGCGCAGGCGGAAGAAUAAGUCUGAUGUGAAAGCCCUCGGCUUAACCGAGGAACUGCAUCGGAAACUGUUUUUCUUGAGUGCAGAAGAGGAGAGUGGAACUCCAUGUGUAGCGGUGGAAUGCGUAGAUAUAUGGAAGAACACCAGUGGCGAAGGCGGCUCUCUGGUCUGCAACUGACGCUGAGGCUCGAAAGCAUGGGUAGCGAACAGGAUUAGAUACCCUGGUAGUCCAUGCCGUAAACGAUGAGUGCUAAGUGUUGGGAGGUUUCCGCCUCUCAGUGCUGCAGCUAACGCAUUAAGCACUCCGCCUGGGGAGUACGACCGCAAGGUUGAAACUCAAAGGAAUUGACGGGGGCCCGCACAAGCGGUGGAGCAUGUGGUUUAAUUCGAAGCAACGCGAAGAACCUUACCAGGUCUUGACAUCUAGUGCAAUCCGUAGAGAUACGGAGUUCCCUUCGGGGACACUAAGACAGGUGGUGCAUGGCUGUCGU
rnacentral:rRNA from 1 species